UAGACAGUAUUUUGUAUUAAGGAUUUUUAAGACACUUUUAUUUAUAUUAUUACAUUACAGCCUGACAACAACCCUGAGAAGUAGACAAGGUGAGUGUUAUUAGCCCUGCUUUACUGAUGAGGAAAUGGAGACUCAGAGCUGAGUCAUGGAAUUAAUUAGACUAAGAGGCCAUGCGAUGAGAUGGAAUGUGCAUGGGACAAACCUGUGUCAGAUAAAAUGUAGUCCCACUGCCACCUCAGGAUUUAAGAUACUUCAUGUUUUGGUGCGGUGGCAAGUGUGAUAUGUGGGUUUUGAUCCUCUUUUGUACAGGAUUAUUGCAGGAAUGGUGUCCGCUCAACAUAGCCCUGCACUCCCUCUGGCUUACCACCUUGCCCAUGGGCCAUACCUGUCCCAUGUCCUCCCUUCUACCGUGCCCAGUGUGGGAGAGGGCUGCUGAUGCCUGGUCACCCUGCCUCUCACUGAGAAAAUAAGCUUGGCCUUUAUUGGCACGUGCCAAUUUGGAACAAGAAAAAGAAGAUAAAAGAACAUAGAAGCUUAAAAAAUAGUCUCACAGUAUAAAGGAUGAGGCCAUGGAUCACACCCUUGAAGGGCAGAAUCACCCUAACAGGCAGUGUACAUCAUCUGAAAAAUAGAAUGUUAUUUACAGCUCAGCUUAUUUAUGUUUCUUUACUUUCUGAUUCUGUUUCUGCCUUCUACCUUCCACGAUGCCAAUUCAAUGUGGGGUAAGUAUGGUGAGAGAGAACCAUCUGGAGACACUGGACCCUGACUAUGUAUAUGUUUAACCAAAGAGGUGACUUGAGGGGAGAAUUCCAGGCCAGGUGGAAAUGGAAGAUGGUAAAUGUGCUAAGUAGGAGAGGACAUUGGCUAGGUAGACCAUCUGGUUUUCUUCACAUCUCACAGUUAAGAUUACAUGAAAGGAAGCAUGAUGUGGUAGGAAAAAAUCCAUGUAUUUUAAGCAAUUAAUUGAAGUUCAGUCCUACAGGUAUUCUGGGGACACUCAUCACGGGCCAGGCCCAUGUGCUGGGUUUUCAGAAUGAUCAGACACAGUUUCUGUCUUGAAGUAGCUCACGGUUUAGUGAGGGGCACCAAAAAUAAGUUAAUAUAACACUCUGUGAUAAGAACAUAAUAAAGGA